UACGUAGAAGACAAGUGUUAUUCAUGUUUAAUCGGUUUAAAGGGUAACUAGACGGAUUAUCAAGCCUUUUUUGGGGACUAAUUUUCUAGAGUUUUAUGUGAGAAUAACGAAUUAUCAGAGGAGAGUCGCAAUUUUAUGAUACUGAUAAGACGGGUAACAGCGAAGGCAAUAUUCUAUGUAAUAACUGACGUUGAGGUACGAAGCCUUGGGGAGCGAGAAGGAUUAGGAUACCCCA
rnacentral:rRNA from 1 species